GCCGCUUUAGCUCAGUCGGUAGAGCACGUCAUUCGUAAUGACGGGGUCAGGUGUUCGAGUCACCUAAGCGGCA
rfam:Spinacia oleracea cultivar SynViroflay scaffold36353.con0052.1, whole genome shotgun sequence.